rnacentral:lncRNA from 1 species
AGAAAUUCUCCUAGAGAGAAUUCAGUGAGCCACACAUGUAAACACUAAAGUUGUAGCCAUAUUAUUUUAUAUAGUGAAAAGUUACUACUGCUGCUCUCCGAGGACGUAGGCAUAGCCGAACCUCGUUAAAUGCUGUGUCUCAUCUACUUUACGUGCAGCUCAAUAUUCAUACAUAUUUCAGGUCAUUUUAUAACACGUUAUCAGCACGAGAAGCUCUC